rnacentral:lncRNA from 1 species
CGGCCGCCGACGCCCCGGUCCCCGCCGAGCUCCCCGCCGCCGCCAAGGACCGGCCCCCAUAGCGGCUCCGGGCCCUCGGAUGGCGUGACGGCUUGUGGGGCCUGCGGGGUGCGCUGCCCCCGGACCUGCGGGGGGAGGCGGCUGAGCUGGCGGCGCUCGCGGGCCCAGUGUUUCUUGCGCAGUUGAUGAUCUUUAUAAUCAGCCUCGUCAGCUCCAUCUUCUGUGGACAUCUGGGCAAGGUCGAGCCGGACGCUGUCACGCUCGCCGUCACGGUUGGACGAGGGAGUGCUUCCAGGAGUGGGGCUCCUACAUCCACCUGGUUAUUCCCAGUAUGUUCAUGGUGUGCACUGAGCAGUGGACCUUUGAGAUCGGAAACUUCCUUGCAGGACUGAUUGAUGUGAUGGAGCUCGGCACUCAGGGCAUCAUCUGUGAGCUGGCGUCAGUGGCCUACAUGAUGUGCACCAUGGGAAGGGAGGAACCAGGCAGCACAAGUGAGAGAG